GGGGUUGUAGCUCAGUGGUAGAGUGCUUGCCUCUCAUGCUUGAAGCAUUGUGUUCGAUCCUCAGCACCA
rnacentral:tRNA from 1 species